rnacentral:rRNA from 1 species
CGCGUAGGCGGUUUUGUAAGUCGAAUGUGAAAGCCCCGGGCUUAACCUGGGAAUUGCGUUCGAUACUGCGAAACUAGAGUACGGUAGAGGGAAGUGGAAUUCCGGGUGUAGCGGUGAAAUGCGUAGAUAUCCGGAGGAACACCAGUGGCGAAGGCGACUUCCUGGGCCAGUACUGACGCUGAGGUGCGAAAGUGUGGGGAGCAAACA